UCAUGAUCAAACAUAGUCAUCUUAAAUAAACAAAAAAAAAAAAAACAAAAAAAAAAAACAACUUGUACGUGUAUUCAGUUUUCAGUGGAUUUGACUUACGCUACACUUUUACAAUGAUACCUUUUAAGAAACCACAUAGUUCAUUGAAGUUGGUGACACUAAAACUUCAUCAUAAACUAUAACCAAAACAUUUACAAUAAACAGAGACGGACGGAUGAACGGACGUAAAGACUUUUAAAUAUAAUGACCAUCUCUAUCGUCGAACAGGUUAACAAAAUCAAAGUCAUGAAUUGAGUAAUAUGUCAGUCUUGAGUCAAUCAACAUAAACAAAAUCUUGAGAUUAUUAGACAUAAAGUAU
rnacentral:lncRNA from 1 species